rnacentral:miRNA from 1 species
UCUCUCUUAGCCAAUCAUGCU